ensembl:lncRNA
CUUCUGCUCAUGAACCUGUGUGCACAGCGUCUGCAAAUCGGGGCUGUACAAAGUCACUUCAUCUUUACCCAAAACUGUAAGCUGUCAUCUGUGAGGCGCGAGCGGUGUUUGUUUUUAUCAUAAUUCAUGGUGGAGAAUGGCUGCUCUGCUGAGUUUUGCUCUCUGUAGCUGUAUGAAUGGCAAACUACACUGAUUACCAGCGGCAUAGGCACACAUAAAAUUUCUUCUGAAAUUUUCCCUUUCUAGUUAAGUCUACUGUUUAAAACAUACCAUUCAGUUAAGCUACUUACAGUCAAAUAUCCAGGUUAUCCUUAAGAAAACACCUCAAGAGACUGAAAUUUAAAAUCUUCCUUCUGGAAUGUUGCUUGUGGAACGAGGUCCACAAUAGAAAGAGAAACUCUGGCAGCCCUGUGUUAAUUAAACCUUAUUUUAUAAUCAAGAUUAAGUGUUUAAUUUCUAGUCUCUGCUGAGUUCAGUGACACAUGUUUUUUUAACUGUUGUGAAAUACCAAAGGAGGGACUCCAGGAAGGAAACCAAGAGAUCAGAUGGAAGUUAUUUGUUGGUGAAGAGUAUAUAAAGACCUGUGUGAGUGUGUUUCACAUCUGUAUCAAACUCUUCAGCCACUCAUCAUGGACAAAAACACGUUGCUGGUCCUUUUGUGUCUGCAGGCGAUCCUGCUCAUCACGGCCUCGUCUGAGAUGACAGCUGAACAGCCGACACCGACAGAGGAGAUAACUUCUGUACACAGCACGAAGGUGAAAAGCCCAAAUGUUAAACAUCUGAAAAAAUGCCGCGUGACACAAGCAGGAUGUCGACAACACCACUCAAAAGCACAGCAGAGGUCACACACAAAGCCACAGCCCUACAGACCCAAAGCUCGUAGAGGGAGUCUGGCUCCAAUUUUGCUACAGUAAAGGAAUGAAGUGAAGGAGUGACCACAUCUAGUGGUGAGUCUCCUGCUUUGUUUCUUCUGAAGAAGAUGAAAUAAAAAGAAAAACAGAAACGAAGAUCUUUAAAGAAACUUUUCUUUGCUGUUUGGCAUUGCGUUACAUUUCAGUGCAAUGCAAAUCAUAUGCAGUACUAACUAUAAAAAUCACAAUAUUUCUCAGAUCAGUGGUAUAUAAGAAAUAUGUGUAUGACAUAAAAAGGUUAUUAAGGCACUACAUAAAUGAAUGUAUCUGAUACAAUUAUAAUUUGAUGUUUAUGUUUAUAAGUCAGUUUUUAAUAUGGCCUUAUUCAUUUUACUGGUUUUGAUGGAAUGAAGAACAAGUUUUCAGUCUUCUAUUGUUGUAACUUUGCACUGUAACUGCUAUUGUUUCAUGAAUUUCAGUUUCAAAUAAAGUCACCCAGAGUUAAAGCAUA